rnacentral:lncRNA from 1 species
GGAACGCGCAACUAGAAGGGCUUUAGGACCCGGCUGCGCGGCUCCCGGACCCUGCGCGUCCCAGGUCCCCAGCCUCGGGCGGAGCGGCAUGAAUGAGAUGCUGGAGGGGAUGGGACUCAAAGGGCUCGCGGUGGAAUAGCUCUGCCGUCGCCAGGCAACCGCCCUGACGCAACGCAAAAAAAAAAAAAAAAAAAAAGUCCCUUAAAAAAAAAAAAAAAAAAAAAGUCCCUUAAAAAAAGAAUAGUGCUGAGAAUUCACUGGAGCACGAGAGAAAGGGCGGCAGAAGCCGGCUCAGCCCCCGAGGCCGUGGCCAGAGGCUGCGGAGCCGGGAGCCCGCGUCGGGAGGAGGAGGCGGGGACCCUGCUGACACCCCUGGAAGGGGCCGCGGAGCGCCGGCGAAGGGGUGGAAACAGAAGCCUUGAAUGAUAAGUUGAGGUGCAAUCAUUAGCAGAGCACAUUGCAAACUGAGCUUCGCUGGGAAACACACCUGGAAGAACGCAGGGCCUCACACCAGCCAGCAGCUUCUCACCACCUGCCAACAGGAGGGAGCUCGCCCCGCUUCCCCGCCAGCCUCUGAUCCGCCGCACCUCCUCCAAGACUGAUAGAUCUUCUUGGCAAAGCUGCCCCCAAAGAUUCCUGCUAACACUUGUCUGUUCCUGCCUCUUGCGAAGCAUGGCACCCACAGGACUCUGGGAAGAAUCUUAAACCUGAGCCUCUGCAGCUGCUCCAGAGGGCGCUCUGUGUGGCUCAUUUACCGUCCCACUCGGCUCCAGGAGCUGCUCUUAUCCUAGCGAUGCCCUCGGGAGCCUUAGCCCCAGCUGGGUGAGACCAUUCCAGAGCGGGACACAACCUUGCCACCGCCGAGACUCCCACACCGCCCCCACCACCUCCCAUGCCUGGCUGCCCCGGCAGACUCUAGAAUGUCCGUGCCCCAGAUCCAAGUAGAAGAAGUGGUGGGUGAGGAAGAUGGGCUGGCAGGAGCAGCCCC